GGAGGAAAAGAAACCAACAGGGAUUGCCUCAGUAACGGCGAGUGAAGCGGCAACAGCUCAAAUUUGAAAUCUGGCUCUUUCAGGGUCCGAGUUGUAAUUUGUAGAAGAUGCUUUGAGUGUAGCUCCGGUCUAAGUUCCUUGGAACAGGACGUCAUAGAGGGUGAGAAUCCCGUACGUGACUGGGUGCUUUCGCUCGUGUAAAGCUCUUUCAACGAGUCGAGUUGUUUGGGAAUGCAGCUCAAAAUGGGUGGUAAAUUUCAUCUAAAGCUAAAUAUUGGCCAGAGACCGAUAGCGCACAAGUAGAGUGAUCGAAAGAUGAAAAGCACUUUGGAAAGAGAGUUAAACAGUACGUGAAAUUGUUGAAAGGGAAGCGCUUGCAACCAGACUUGCAUGCUGUUGAUCAUCCGAGAUUUUUCCCGGUGCACUCGGCAGUAUUCAGGCCAGCAUCGGUUUUGGUGGGCGGAUAAAGGCCUUGGGAAUGUAGCUUCUUUCGGGGAGUGUUAUAGCCCUCGGUGCAAUGCGCCCUACCGGGACCGAGGACCGCGCUUCGGCUAGGAUGCUGGCGUAAUGGUUGUAAGCGACCCGUCUUG
rnacentral:rRNA from 1 species